UACGUAGGGGGCAAGCGUUGUCCGGAUUUAUUGGGCGUAAAGAGCGUGUAGGCGGUUCGGUAGGUCCGUUGUGAAAACUCGAGGCUCAACCUCGAGACGCCGAUGGAAACCCUCGAACUAGAGUCCGGAAGAGGAGAAUGGAAUUCCUGGUGUAGCGGUGAAAUGCGCAGAUAUCAGGAAGAACACCCGUGGCUAAGGCGGUUCUCUAGUACGGUAUUGACGCUGAGACGCGAAAGCGUGGGGAGCGAACAGG
rnacentral:rRNA from 1 species